rnacentral:rRNA from 1 species
UAUGUGAUCGUCUCUCGCAUAUCAAUAAGCGGAGGAAAAGAAACUAACAAGGAUUCCCCUAGUAACGGCGAGUGAAGCGGGAAGAGCUCAAAUUUGAAAUCUUAAAGGGUUUCCCUUUACGAAUUGUAGUUUAAAGAAGUGUUUUCUGUUGAGGUUUUGGUAAAAGUUCUUUGGAAUAGGACAUCAUAGAGGGUGAGAAUCCCGUAUUUGACCUUUACUUUCAACUUUGUGAUACACUUUCAAAGAGUCGGAUUGUUUGGGAAUGCAGUCCAAAAUGGGUGGUAAAUUCCAUCUAAAGCUAAAUAUUGGCGAGAGACCGAUAGCGAACAAGUACCGUGAGGGAAAGAUGAAAAGAACUUUGAAAAGAGAGUUAAACAGUACGUGAAAUUGUCAAAAGGGAAGCGUUUGACACCAGUGUUGUUUUUCUGAAAAUCAAUUAAAGAACUGUUUAUGCUAAGCUGUUUAGACUUUAUCAGCUAAUCUGUUUAGUUUUGAGCUUUUCUUAAUGCACUUUUCAGUUAACAAGUCAACAUCAAUUUCUUUUGCUGUAAAAAAGCUUGAGGAAGGUGGCUUGAGAUUCGUCUUAAGUGUUUAUAGCCUCUUGCCUAUGCAGUCGGAGAGAUUGAGGUCUGCAGCGUAGAUCCUUCGGGGCUAAAUGCAUUUGUGCUAAGUUAUAGCAUUUUAUAGACAACUUGUUGACUAUGAUUUGUCUUGUAGCUUACUCGCUUAUGUUAUUUUACCUACGCUUAGGAUGUUGACUGAUAUGUAGUCGU